GGGGGUGUGGCGGAACUGGUAGACGCGCUAGACUCAAAAUCUUGUUUCCUCUGGAAGUAUGAGUUCAAGUCUCAUCACCCCUACCA
rnacentral:tRNA from 2 species